CCGGAUCUCAGAUCAAGUAAGAUUACCCGCCGAAUUUAAGCAUAUAAUUAAGCGGAGGAAAAGAAACUAACUAGGAUUCCCUCAGUAACGGCGAGUGAAGCGGGAUGAGCUCAGGAUGUAAAUCUGCGCUAUUAAAGCGCCGAAUUGUGGUCUGUAGACUUUGGUGUUAUCUGCCGGGCCAAGUUCCUUGGAAAAGGACAGCUGAGAGGGUGAGACUCCCGUCCGCCUGGUAGAGUGAGCCUUUGUCAAAGAGUCGAGUUGUUUGGGAUUGCAGCUCUAAUUUGGUGGUAAAUUCCAUCUAAAGCUAAAUAUUGGUGGGAGACCGAUAGCGUACAAGUACCGUGAGGGAAAGAUGCAAAGAACUUUGAAAAGAGAGUUAAAGAGUACCUGAAAUUGCUGAAACGGAAGCGAAGGAAACCAGUGUUUGUUUGUUCAUAUUUCCCUGACCACUUGUGGUUUGGGCGCUGUGGGCUUGCGUCGGUUUGCUUUGGUUAAUCCCUUUGGAAGAGCGCAGUCAGAGUUGAUGUCUGUUGCUAGCACUGGGUUUGACUUGAGUAGACGAAA
rnacentral:rRNA from 1 species